rnacentral:lncRNA from 1 species
CCCAAAUCCUCUUCUAGAAGCACCUGGCAGGGGCUCUGCCUGAGCUCACAACUCCAACAAGGUCAAUGUACACCAAUCGGAUUGGAGGGACUGAGGAGUGGGCAAUCCUGCCCAGGAGGGAGAGCAUGGGACAACCAGUUCACGGUGACUUUAUGAGCUGUAAGGCUCACGGCGAAGGUCUGCAGCUUCACUUCGGAAGCCAGCGAGACCACCAACCCCCCUGGAGAAAGGAACAAGUCCAGAAGCACCACCUUAAGAGUUGUAGCACUCACGGCAAAUGUCUGCAGCUUCAUUCCUGAGCCAGCAAGACCACGAACCCCCCAGAAAGAACAAACGCCCACCACCAGAAGGAACAAACUCUGGACACGCCGCGAGGCGUGUAACUGUAACACACACCGCGAGGGUCUGUGGCUUUAUUCUUUAAGUCAGUGAGACCAAGAACCCACCAUUUCUG